AACAAGGUGACUGUUAUGAGCUGUUGGUGAUGAGAUCUUCAUGUUUACGAGAUGCUCGCAGACCUAUUGAGACCUGGAGGAAGGAUGACACUUUCUCACAGAUGGCCCUGGAGGGCAGGGAGCAGCUGUGUGGUGCUGCAGCCUCCSAGCUCGGUGUAGUCCUGCACAGAAAGCAGCAUCCAGCUACUGCUGGAAACUCUUUGCACUCCAUUCACAGCUUCCUGAUGGAACAGCUUGUCUUUGAGGGCUCAUACUCCACUGCUGAGGCUCAUCUGAGUGACUGGGGAGCUCUGUGGCAGAUGCCUCAGGCGUACUCUGGAAGCAGUGUGUGUUGAAAGACUUGGCUUUAACCCACCAUGGAAGUGCUGAGGCAGUUGCUCAUGUGGCUUCAACUCUCUCUCCAGCUUCCAUCAAGAAGGAAACUUCUCAUUCAAGAGUGUAAGAAUUAUUAUUCUUACUCAGCUGCUACCUACAGGAAGCCUGAAUGUGACUGCUGCUG